rnacentral:sRNA from 1 species
AUCCAUCCGUUCUACUACAUUGAUAUCUCAUCGAUCAGUUAGGAUCUCGUUACGUACACCCUUACGCAGGUAUAAGGUUUUUAUCCUUGUAGAGUUCUAAGGAUCUUCUUCUAAAUCAGCAGUAAGCUCCAACUCACUGUAACAUCUACGAGCCUGUUUAUGUUGUAGGUUUAUGUUGUAGGUUCUACACAGGCCCUAUCCCACGUGGCUCACACACACCGGAUAUAUUAGCUGCCACCACUAGCCACUAGAUAGAUGAUAACAAACUGUUGGGGUUUUGGAUUGGUUCAUCCCCUCCACUACUAGCAUUGAUUCAGCUCUUUUGCCCCGGUGGCAUAACACAAACCAACCAAGUUCAACCUCUCUUCCAGUUUAUUUGUAAUAAAUAUUUGUAAUUUAUAGUUAUCAUUUUUGAAUGUUUUCUUUUUAAAAAUACUUUAUAUGUUUAUAGUUAUAUUUUAUUAAAGUUACUAGUAAAGUACUGUACAAUAUUGAUAGCUACUAUUUUAUAUUAUAACACCCUCGGGCC